AUAUAUUUUAUCUUGGUAUUUGAAUUUUCUUUUUCUUUUUAUUUAUAUAUAAUAUUUGUUUUAAUAAUUUUAUUUUAUAGUAAAUAUUUUUAAUUAUUUAUUUAUUGUUAGAAUUAGAAAUAAGAAUUUAUGAUUAACAAAUUUUGUGCCAGCAGUUGCGGUUAUACAAUUAAUUAAAGGAAAAUUUUAUAAAUUAAUAGUAAUAAUUAAUUAUAAAAAUAAAUUUAUAAAAUUUAGAGGUAAAAUUUUAAUUUUUUAUAUUUGUUUUUUUGUAAUUACUAUGAAAUUAUUUUUUAAAAAACCAGGAUUAGAUACCCUGUUAUUAUAAUGUAAAAUUUUUGAAGUAGUAUAAGUUAAGAUCUGGAAACUUAAGAGAUUUGGCAGUAUUUUAUCUUAUUAGAGGAACCUGUUUAGUAAUUGAUAUUCCACGACUUAAACUUACUUUUAAUUAUUUUACUUGUAUACCGUUGUCAUGAAUAUAUUUAAAAAUUUAUUUUCUUUAUUUUUAUAAAAUUUAUGUUAAAUCAAGGUGCAGUUUUUAAAAGCUUAAAAUGGGUUACUUAAUUUAAUAUGAAUGAAUUAUUUAUUUUAUAUAAAUAUUAAAAUUGGAUUUAACAGUAAUUUAAUUAAAGAAAUUUUAUGAAUAAAGAUUCUAAAAUAUGUACACAUUGCCCGUCGCUCUUAUUUAAUGUAAGAUAAGUCGUAACAUAGUAGAUGUACCGGAAGGUGUAUCUAGAUAGAAA
rnacentral:ncRNA from 1 species